CCUGCAGCCCUCAGAGAUUUUCAUUGUUACAUUUGACAAUGCCACGUUCCAGCAAGAGAUCCAGGGCAGCCAAGAAAAGGAUAUCUGCUCCAGAAGACCAAGGAUCCACUGUUGAGAUGCCGAGGAAGAAGAACUGGCGGAAAGGGCGUCAUCACUUGGCUGCUGCUGCAACAUGUAGCGCCUUGUCUGAUUUUUCUCUAUCCACUGAUCCCCACUCUACCCCUUGUGAUAUCCCAUCUUCAUCCCCCACCCCAAGCUUCACCUACUCUGAUUUUCCUCCUCUUCCGACCUCUCGGUCAUCUAUCUUUAGGCCCUGUGACUCUCUUUCACAGUCUGUGCCUGUUGUGAGCUGUGAUAAUGUAUCGCAGUCUCUUUCAAGGACCAGUGGAGCAUCGUUCACACUGCCUCUGCAAUCUAUAAGGUGUGCAGCCAUUGGGGCAUACUGUUCUCACGGUGAAAC